GACGAACGCUGACGGCGUGCUUAACACAUGCAAGUCGAACGGACAGACAGAGAGCUUGCUCUCUUGAAGUUAGUGGCGAACGGGUGAGUAACGCGUAAUCAACCUGCCCUUCAGAGGGGGAUAACAACGGGAAACCGUUGCUAAUACCGCGUACGAUUCAUGAACGGCAUCGUUUAUGAAUGAAAGGUGGCCUCUAUGUAUAAGCUAUCGCUGAAGGAGGGGAUUGCGUCUGAUUAGCUAGUUGGAGGGGUAACGGCCCACCAAGGCAAUGAUAAGUAGCCGGUCUGAGAGGAUGAACGGCCACAUUGGGACUGAGACACGGCCCAAACUCCUACGGGAGGCAGCAGUGGGGAAUCUUCCGCAAUGGACGAAAGACUGACGGAGCAACGCCGCGUGAGUGAUGAAGGUCUUCGGAUUGUAAAGCUCUGUUAAUCGGGACGAAAGAGUUCUGCGUGAAUAAUGCAGAAAAGUGACGGUACCGGAAUAGAAAGCCACGGCUAACUACGUGCCAGCCGCCGCAGUAA
rnacentral:rRNA from 1 species